AGGUGCUGUAAUGGCAUGUGUCUCACUUCUGCUGCUACUCAUAUGAUUCAUACAGGCAUUGCUGUUCAGCACUGCUCAGCUGUUUCCAUCAGGCCUGUAUCUAAGCAGAAAUGUGAGCACAAUGAGGCCAGAGAAGGGUGGUUUAGAGAACGAUGGUUUGGAGAACAGUGGUUUAGAGAAGGGUGGUUUAGAGAAUGAUGGUUUAGGGAACAGUGGUUUAGAGAUCAGUGGUUUAGAGAAGGGUGGCUUUGUUUGGUCAGUUGAGAGAUUCGCUGGGGUUUCUUGGCUUUUCAAAGAUAUGCUAUUAUUUAGGGAUUUUUUUGGACAUAGAGAAGUCUGCAGGGCUUGGGUAUUCUAAAUAUAGAAAUGCACUCGGCUACUUUUUAUGUUAUCACUAGUCAUAACUGUCACACAAAUAUCUUGUGUGAGUGUUUAUAAAUUAUGGCAUGAAUGUCAAACCACAACAUAAAAUCACUGCAACCCAAACUUGAAGGCUUUAUAGACUUUUCACCAUGACCUCUGGUAACAGUGGAACUCUAAAUACCCAAACUCUUAUGGUAGAUUCUUCCUUACCUUCAUGCUUUACUGUCUUAUAUCUCUGAAGCCUUCAUCAGUACCUUGACCUACAGGCCAUGUACUCUUCAAAUCAAGUACAGCUUUAGGGCCGGCUAGUGAUGUGUCCUCUAAAAAUAUUUACUCUGCAGAUUUUUAAAUAAAAGCUAAUGUAAAAGGUUCCUUGGACCCCUGUUCUAGUGAAGUCAUCUCCAAGGGAGAGUACACAAGAUUCUCCACCAAGGAAAAUAAAACUAUGCCUUUUCUUUUUUUAAGAAAGAAAUAAAAGUUCACUAAUGUUUAAUAAAUUGACAUGGCAGCCCUCUCAGCCUGUUAGGCCAUCAGCUGGAGAAUCCCUUCUUGCUUGGAAACGCUUUUUGUUCUUCUCAGGUCUUCAGCCGAUCAGAUGAGGCCCACCCACAUUAUGGUAGGCAUGUGUCAGGUGCCAUGUGUGCCAUGUACAGGGCCUGCUGGGGAAAGACUGGGAGGAGCUCCACAAUGCAGAGAGCAUAACCACAGUGCUCUCAUCUGCUCACAUCCUCCAAGCAAUUGUCUUGCAUUGACCUUGUGUGCACUUCAUUCAGGGUGUUUUGGGUGUUUUUUAAAGGAUAAACUCAUUACUUUCAUAAAAAUAAACAACAACCACAUGUCAAAGCUUUUAUUUAACUUAUAAUUUAAUGAGGACCAUAAGUGAGAUGAUAGAACUAAUUCAAAGGAGAAUACAAAAAACACACACAUAUAAACCAUCAGCAUAAUUUGAUGAAACAAAUGAACAAUAGAUGAAGCCCUUGUCCACAGGGCAAUAAUCAAUUACAUUUUACUGUACAUAAUCAUUUGCAUUUCUAUGAAAUGGAGACUUUCAUCCUUACCAACUUUUUAUGACUCACAGAGUUGUAAAAUAGUGCGAUGGUAAUAAAAUGUUGCAUAGGCAAGACACUCAAUAAUCAGCUGAAAACUGUGGCAUGAGAACCACAUGAUGAAUGCACAACCUUCAGUAGCCAAUUCGAUCAACUGGAAGAAAGGGCAUCAGUGAUUGAAGAUCAAAUGAAUGAAAUGAAGUGAGAAGAGAAGUUUAGAGAAAAAAAGAGUAAAAAGAAACGAACAAAGCCUCCAACAAAUAUGGGACUAUGGGAAAAGACCAAAUCUACAUUUGAUUGGUGUACAUGAAAGUGAUGGGGAGACUAGAACCAAGUAUCUCAAGGACAAAAAACCAAACACCUCGUGCUCACUCAUAGGUGGGAAUUGAACAGUGAGAACACCUGGACACAGGAAGGGGAACAUCACACACUGGGGCCUGCAGUGGGGUUGGGGGAGGUUGGAGGGAUAGCAUUAGGAGAUAUACCUAAUGCUAAAUGACGAGUUAAUGGGUGCAGCACACCAACAUGGCACAUGUAUACAUAUGUAACAAAAGAGAACUGCAAUUUUCUCCGGGGUCAACAAUUAAAAAGAAGUUCUCUGAUGUGAAAAGGGUAAAAGUUUUAGAGAAAGAAAAUGGUGAUUCUCGAGAUUGUGGGUGUCCCUUUGCAAGUCAUUUUAAGACCAAUGGUUCUCCACUCAUCAAAAGAUCCCCUUCAGGUCUACAUGAUGAGCUCUGCAGUUGUUGGGAGAUAAAGAGAUUUUAAGAUGAGAAAAGAGAAAAUGACAGCCAGGUUACGGGGCUUCCAGGGUAGAGUCCAUGGGGCAAGAGAGCUGACAUUUAUGCUGGAUGUUUCUCAGGCCUGCAACCAGGAUACUUAUAUUUAAUCACAUUAUAAUCAAGGUAAUGCAUGUACAUAAUUAAAAAUCAAAUUACUCUGCCCUCCAAAAAAGGCUUAAGAUUUUAUAUAUAUAUAUAUAUAUAUAUAUGGAGAGACAGAGAGAGAGAUUUCUUGUCCUUGUCUCAUUCCCCAGGGAAUAACCUUUGGGUCGUUUUAUAGAUGGUUGUCACCAUUUAUAAAAUGAAUUUGGACGUGUUCUCCCCUCUUCUAUUUUAUGAAAGAGAUUGAGUAAAAUUGGUCUUAUGUAUUUCUUCUUAAAAUAUUUAUUCAAAUUUUCGAGUGAAAUUAUCUGGGCCUAGACAAUUCUUUUUCAGAAGAGUUUCAACUACAAAGUCAACUUGUUUUAUACAGAUUGUCUAUUUAAUUUUGAGUGAGUUUUGAUAAUUUUUGGUAUUCAAGGAAUUGGUCCAUUUUUUUUUAUUUAUGUAUUUUUUGAGACAGCGUCUUGCUGUGUUGCCCAGGCUGGAGUGCAAUAGUGUGAUCCUUGGCUCACUGGAACCUCUACCUCCCACUCUCAAGCCCCUGAGUGGCUUGGACUACAGUUGCAUGCCACCACCCCCCGGGAAAAUUUUUUAUAUUUUUUGUAGAAAUGGGAUUUAACCAUAUUGCCCAGACUGGUCUCAAACUCCUGAGCUCAAGCCGUCCGCCCACCUCAGCCUCCCAAAGCACUGGAAUUACAGGCAUGAGCCACCAUGCCCAGCUGGAAUUGGUCCAUUUCUUUUAAGUUGUCAAAUUUAUGAACAUAAAAUUGUUCAUAAUAUUCUCUCAUUAUUAUUUGAAUGUCUGCAGUGUUUGUAGCAAUAUGCCUUCUUUCAUUCGUAUGCUAAUAAGUUGUGCCUCUUCUCCUUUCAUCUUCAUCGAUCUUUUAGAAGUUUAUCUUUUUAAAGAACUAGCUUUUGGUUUUAUCAAUUUUUCUCUAUUAGUUUUAUAUUUUAAAUUUUAUUUAUUUCUGGUCUUAUCUUCAUUAUUUUCUUGCUUCUGCUUGCUUUGG
rnacentral:lncRNA from 1 species